CAAUAGCGUAUAUUAAAGUUGUUGCAGUUAAAAAGCUCGUAGUUGGAUUUCUGGUGGGAGCGAUCGGUCUGGCGCUUAGCGCGAGUACUUGCAUAGUCUCCGGCCAUCCUUGGGGAGAGUCUGUCUGGCAUUAAGUUGUCGGGCAGAGGAUCCUCAUCGUUUACUGUGAAAAAAUUAGAGUGUUCAAAGCAGGCUUAUGCCGUUGAAUAUAUUAGCAUGGAAUAAUAAGAUAGGACUUUGGUACUAUUUUGUUGGUUUGCGCACCAAAGUAAUGAUUAAUAGGGACAGUUGGGGGUAUUCGUAUUCCGUUGUCAGAGGUGAAAUUCUUGGAUUUACGGAAGACGAACUACUGCGAAAGCAUUUACCAAGGAUGUUUUCAUUAA
rnacentral:rRNA from 1 species